AGGGAUAUAGCUCAGUGGUAGAGUACUUGCCCAGCUUGCAGGAGGCCCUGGGUUCAGUCCCCAGCACCACAG
rnacentral:tRNA from 1 species